GAUGAACGCUAGCUACAGGCUUAACACAUGCAAGUCGCGGGGUAACAUCUGGUAGAGCUUGCUCUUCCAGGAUGACGACCGGCGCACGGGUGAGUAACGCGUAUCCAACCUGGCCCAUACCACGGGAUAGCCCGUCGAAAGGCGGAUUAAUACCGUAUGCUGUCAUUAAGAUGCAUAUAUUGAUGACGAAAGGACUGGCGGUAUGGGAUGGGGAUGCGUCUGAUUAGCUUGUUGGCGGGGUAACGGCCCACCAAGGCGACGAUCAGUAGGGGUUCUGAGAGGAAGGUCCCCCACAUUGGAACUGAGACACGGUCCAAACUCCUACGGGAGGCAGCAGUGAGGAAUAUUGGUCAAUGGGCGCAAGCCUGAACCAGCCAAGUAGCGUGAGGGAAGACUGCCCUACGGGUUGUAAACCUCUUUGUUUGGGAAUAAAGUGCGGGACGUGUCCCGCAUUGCAUGUACCAUUUGAAUAAGGACCGGCUAAUCCGUGCCAGCAGCCG
rnacentral:rRNA from 1 species